rnacentral:rRNA from 1 species
UGGGGAAUAUUGCACAAUGGGCGCAAGCCUGAUGCAGCCAUGCCGCGUGUAUGAAGAAGGCCUUCGGGUUGUAAAGUACUUUCAGCGGGGAGGAAGGGAGUAAAGUUAAUACCUUUACUCAUUGACGUUACCCGCAGAAGAAGCACCGGCUAACUCCGUGCCAGCAGCCGCGGUAAUACGGAGGGUGCAAGCAUUAAUCGGAAUUACUGGGCGUAAAGCGCACGCAGGCGGUUUGUUAAGUCAGAUGUGAAAUCCCCGGGCCCAACCUGGGAACUGCAUCUGAUACUGGCAAGCUUGAGUCUCGUAGAGGGGGGUAGAAUUCCAGGUGUAGCGGUGAAAUGCGUAGAGAUCUGGAGGAAUACCGGUGGCGAAGGCGGCCCCCUGGACGAAGACUGACGCUCAGGUGCGAAAGCGUGGGGAGCAAACAGG